ACGGGAGGCAGCAGUGGGGAAUAUUGCACAAUGGAGGAAACUCUGAUGCAGCGACGCCGCGUGAGUGAUGAAGUAUUUCGGUACGUAAGGCUCUAUCAGCAGGGAAGAUAAUGACGGUACCUGACUAAGAAGUCCCGGCUAACUACGUGCCAGCAGCCGCGGUAAUACGUAGGGGACAAGCGUUAUCCGGAUUUACUGGGUGUAAAGGGAGCGUAGGUGGUUUGGCAAGCCAGAAGUGAAAACCCGGGGCUCAACUCCGCGGAUUGCUUUUGGAACUGUUGAACUAGAGUGCAGGAGGGGUAAGUGGAAUUCCCAGUGUAGCGGUGAAAUGCGUAGAUAUUGGGAGGAACACCAGUGGCGAAGGCGACUUACUGGACUGAAACUGACACUGAGGCUCGAAGGCGUGGGGAGCAAACAGGAUUAGAUACCCUGGUA
rnacentral:rRNA from 1 species